GGGGGCAGGGGAGGGAUCACGGGUCACCACCAGAGGCAAAACAAAGCAUCAUUAGUUACUACCAUACGAGGCCAUGCUAGGUCGUGAGGUGUUGUGUGUUAACUGUUCCGGGAGGUUAUGGUAAUGUUGCCAGAUUGUCGUACACAGACGCGUAUAUUUCCUGACUUCCUACCCAAUAACUGUCUUCUGGGCGCUAACAACGAAACUCAUUUAUAGUUAUCGUUAAAAGAGUUAGAUCCUGAUGUCUCUUGGCAAUAGUUAGGUGUCUGAAACUGUUCAAUACUGUGCUCUGAGUACGAUAACUUCCUACCCAAUAACUGUCUUCUGGGCCCCGAUAACAAAACUCAUUUAUAGUUAUCUUGGAUUCUGAUGUCUCUUGGCAAUAGUUAGGCGUCAGAAACCGAUCAAUACUGUGUUCUGAGUACGAUAACUUCCUACCCAAUAACUGUCUUCUGGGCCCCGAUAACAAAACUCAUUUAUAGUUAUCUUGGAUUCUGAUGUCUCUUGGCAAUAGUUAGGCGUCAGAAACCGUUCAAUACUGUGCUCUGAGUACGAUAACUUCCUACCCAAUAACUGUCUUCUGGGCCCCGAUAACAAAACUCAUUUAUAGUUAUCUUAGAUUCUGAUGUCUCUUGGCAAUAGUUAGGCGUCAGAAACCAGUCAAUACUGUGCUCAGAGUACGAUAACCUGGCAACAGUACUCAAGGGGUUAUGAUUCUUAAAGACUAUUUCUGCAUGCGUUGCGCUCCAAGCUUCAUUAGUGUGAGUGGUAUGACUGAUUUUGAUUUUCUGCAGCAAUGACUCAAGUAAACCAGGUAAAGGAUGUCCUGUAAAAAGUGCAUUGUUCCAGGAGGUUAUGGUAAUACAGUUCAAGGGGUUAUGAUCCUUAAAGACUAUUUCUGCAUGCGUUGCGCUCCAAGCUUCAAACAUGUGAGUGAUAGGAUUGAUUUUGAUUUUCUGCUGCAAUGACUCAAGUAAACCAGGUAAAGGAUGUCCUGUAUAAAGUGCAUUGUGUAGGUGUCUGUGUGUGUGUGAAUAUAAGCUUCAUUUCUUCAACAUGACCAAUGGCAACAUCAUGCAAAUGGGACCCGUAAACAUGCUCCUCCAUUCCACUACUCUAGCGUGACCUCUCCAAGCUACAACACUCCUGGUUAAUUAACAAAGCACAGCAAUGGAAAAACAGUGUGCCAGCAUUCAUAAACAAGCAACCAACUAAACUUACUAAAGGCUUAAGGAAACAAACACCAAGAUAAACUUCCGUCGCAUGCAUGUAUGAGUGUGCAUGUACCCACACACACGUGCGCUCCCGUGGCUCAGUGGAUUAAAGCUCCAUCCUGGUAGACUGACGUUCAGGUCCCACUCAGUUUAAAAGACCAGUGCUGUACCCGGUGAGUAAAAUGAAUGGAGUGUGUGUGUGAAGGUCCCGGCAGUUCCCAGAUAUCUGCUAAUGAGCGUAGAAUGUUCUCACUGGGAGCGUGCUACUUCCAGGAUUAACAAGUCCAGCAUGUGAUCAGGUCCUGGUGAAUUCUGAAGGGCCGUCGAGGUUCAUAAACAAGCUCAGAAUGUUCUCACUGGGAGCGUGCUACUUCCGGGGUAUAACAAGUCCAGCAUGUGAUCAGGUCCUGGUGAAUUCUGAAGGGGCGUCGAGGUUCAUAAACAAGCACAGAAUGUUCUCACUGGGAGGGUGCUACUUCCGGGGAAUAACAAGUCCAGCAUUGAUCAGGUCCCGGUGAAUUCUGAAGGGCCGUUGAGGUCAAUAAAAGGUUUUGUUGUAGAAUUUGCUGCAGUGAUGCCAUGGAGGUUUUGCAUAUGCUCUGUCAACUCCUAGAUAAGCUGAGGUCACGUUGGGUCAAUGCUGAACAAGGACACUUCAGAACACUUCAUCUGUGGACACUUCAUAAUCCCUGGACACUUCAGAACACUUCAUUCGAGGAUGCUGCGUAAUAUUUCAUCCCAGAACACUAAAAUGCUUCUUCAUCUAAGGGACACUUCAUAACACUUCAGGGGACAUUUCGUAACAUUUCAUCCCGGGACACUUCGGAACACUUCAUCUGAGGAACAUUUCGCAACACAUUUGAUUAAGGACACUUCAUAACAGAGCAUUUAAGGACACUCCAUAACACUUCCUCUCGGGCUUUCCAAGUACGUUCCUCGUCAAUGGCUCACAACUUCUCGUCCAUUCUCUCUUUCUCUCACUCACUCAGAAUCAUUUCCCGCAAUCCCACUCUAUCAUUAAGAACAUAACAUAGGUACUUAUUCUGUGACCAUCAAUAGCACCCAUGACUCUCUUUUAAUACUAACCCAACUGCUCUUCUGACCCCCUCUACUGCCCUCACUCAUUAGAAUUAUUUCCCGUAAUCCCACUCUAUUACUAGGAACAUGACAUAGGUACUUCCUCUGUGCCUUCAAUAGCACCCAUGACUCUCUUUUAAUACUAACCCAACUGCUCUUCUGACCCCCUCUACUGCCCUCACUCACUAGAAUCAUUUCCCGCAAACCCAAUUUAUUAGUAAGAACAUGACAAUACUUUUUAACUUCUCUCCAUAGCACUCAUAACUGGACUCUUCUAACACUAACUCAACUGCUUCCCUUACAGCCCUGAGCUAUAUGACAACAACGUCAACCAUAACAAUAG